rnacentral:rRNA from 1 species
CCCAGACUCCUACGGGAGGCAGCAGUGAGGAAUAUUGGUCAAUGGGCUUACGCCUGAACCAGCCAAGUCGCGUGAGGGAAGACUGCCCUAUGGGUUGUAAGCCUCUUUUGUCAGGGAGCAAUUGGCGCUACGUGUAGCGUUAUCGAGAGUACCUGAAGAAAAAGCAUCGGCUAACUCCGUGCCAGCAGCCGCGGUAAUACGGAGGAUGCGAGCGUUAUCCGGAUUUAUUGGGUUUAAAGGGUGCGUAGGCGGAAUGCCAAGUCAGCGGUAAAAUCGAGGGGCUCAACCCCUUUAAGCCGUUGAAACUGGUGAUCUUGAGUGGGCGAGAAGUAUGCGGAAUGCGUGGUGUAGCGGUGAAAUGCAUAGAUAUCACGCAGAACUCCGAUUGCGAAGGCAGCAUACCGGCGCCCGACUGACGCUGAGGCACGAAAGCGUGGGGAUCGAACAGGAUUAGAUACCCGCGUAU